rnacentral:rRNA from 1 species
UGGGGAAUAUUGCACAAUGGGCGCAAGCCUGAUGCAGCCAUGCCGCGUGUGUGAAGAAGGCCUUCGGGUUGUAAAGCACUUUCAGCGGGGAGGAAGGCGAUAAGGUUAAUAACCUUGUCGAAUGACGUUACCCGCAGAAGAAGCACCGGCUAACUCCGUGCCAGCAGCCGCGGUAAUACGGAGGGUGCAAGCGUUAAUCGGAAUUACUGGGCGUAAAGCGCACGCAGGCGGUCUGUCAAGUCGGAUGUGAAAUCCCCGGGCUCAACCUGGGAACUGCAUUCGAAACUGGCAGGCUAGCGUCUUGUAGAGGGGGGUAGAAUUCCAGGUGUAGCGGUGAAAUGCGUACAGAUCUGUAGGAAUACCGGUGGCGAAGGCGGCCCCCUGGACAAAGACUGACGCUCAGGUGCGAAAGCGUGGGGAGCAAACAGG